rnacentral:tRNA from 1 species
CAGGGAGACAACAAAAUGUAAAUAUUAAUUUUGUCACCUUAGGUCGAUCGGUAUCUCAGAUUCUUAGUUUUUAAGAAUUUCAGUUUCUAAGUUUUUUCUAGGUCACACCCAUCACUUUUUCCUGGGCCAUUAGCUCAGGUGGUUAGAGCGCACCCCUGAUAAGGGUGAGGUCCCUGGUUCAAGUCCAGGAUGGCCCAUAUCUCUAUGUUGGGGGUAUAGCUCAGUUGGUAGAGCGCCUGCUUUGCAAGCAGGAUGUCAGCGGUUCGAGUCCGCUUACCUCCACUGAAUACCACCUCUCGCAUAUUUCAAAGAGGGAGAUUGUUUUGAGUUGUGUUCUAUUUUGCUCUGAGCGAAUCUAGCUUCCUAUUUUUGUUUAAAAAUAAGAUGCUGGACUCAUUGAAUUAUUAUUCAUUGUUUUCAGAGAACCUUGACAACUGCAUAGAUUUUUUUGAAGACAAUAAGCAUCUUUAAUGAUGCAGAUUUAUUAUUUGUGCGAAUGCAUUAAAUAACAAUUCUAUUAAGCUGAUGCUUCAAUAUAUUGAAGUUAUU